rnacentral:rRNA from 1 species
AGUGAACGCUGGCGGUAGGCCUAACACAUGCAAGUCGAACGGCAGCACAGUAAGAGCUUGCUCUUACGGGUGGCGAGUGGCGGACGGGUGAGGAAUACAUCGGAAUCUACUUUUUCGUGGGGGAUAACGUAGGGAAACUUACGCUAAUACCGCAUACGACCUACGGGUGAAAGCAGGGGAUCUUCGGACCUUGCGCGAUUGAAUGAGCCGAUGUCGGAUUAGCUAGUUGGCGGGGUAAAGGCCCACCAAGGCGACGAUCCGUAGCUGGUCUGAGAGGAUGAUCAGCCACACUGGAACGGAGACACGGUCCAGACUCCUACGGGAGGCAGCAGUGGGGAAUAUUGGACAAUGGGCGCAAGCCUGAUCCAGCCAUACUGCGUGGGUGAAGAAGGCCUUCGGGUUGUAAAGCCCUUUUGUUGGGAAAGAAAAGCAGCAGGUUAAUACCCCGCUGUUCUGACGGUACCCAAAGAAUAAGCACCGGCUAACUUCGUG